rnacentral:lncRNA from 1 species
CAUGAGACUCACUGUAUAUACAGAAGAUAUCGUUCAGAAUUUUUUAAUUUUGGAUUUGAUCGGAUCUCCGAUAUCCUCCGUUCCCAUCGCGCCUUCUUACGGGUAGUACCGGAUAUAACUGGAGGACGCUAAUAACCAAAAUCUCCGAGGCGCGUUUUUAAAUUCAACACGGUAAUAGUUGAACUGACCUGUCCAACGUGAUUGCCUCCCGUCGCGCAGCAGCCGCGCUGCCUGGAGGCGAGAUUGAAAAAGGGGAUACCAUUUUUGGGGGCGGACAGGAUGCAAUUGGGGUUUAGCACUUUGGGGCAGUCGGAAAAAGGUUGUCUGGACUGAGCAGCGAUUGCAAAAAAUGCCUUCUUCCAUGCGUCCCUUUGACUUUUUAUUUUCAUUGGUGUCCUGUCGUCGUUCCCCGUCGUGUUCCCGUGCCUCGCCGGAACUAUUCUUUCGCCAUAGUUCUAUAUUUGCAUUUCUGGAAAAAUCCUUCUAUGCCUGCGUGUCUCGAACCCGAGAGUUCCUACUCCGCAGCCCAGGGCCGCCGAGAGAGGGUGACAUCCGUGACUUUUGUCACGGGCCCGGCUUCGAAAGGGCCCCGACCGUCGAACUCUGACGCAUC